CCUACGGGAGGCAGCAGUAGGGAAUCUUUCACAAUGGGCGAAAGCCUGAUGGAGCAACGCCGCGUGCAGGAUGAAGGCCUUCGGGUUGUAAACUGCUUUUAUAAGCGAGAAAUAUGAUGGUAACUUAUGAAUAAGGAUCGGCUAACUACCUGCCAGCAGCCGCGGUCAUACGUAGGAUCCGAGCAUUAUCCGGGGUGACUGGGUGUAAAGAGUUGCGUAGGUGGCAUAAUAAGUAGCUAGUGAAAUCUGGUGGCUCAAACAUUCGGACUAUUAGCUAAACUGUUAAGCUCGAGAGCGUUAGGGGUAAGUGGAAUUUCGAGUGUAGGAGUGGAAUCCGUAGAUAUUAGGAGGAACACCAGAGGCGUAGGCAGGUUGCUGGGACGGUUCUGACACUAAGGCACGAAAGCGUAGGGAGCAAACGGGAUUAGAUACCCCGGUAGUC
rnacentral:rRNA from 1 species